CCUACGGGUGGCAGCAGUGAGGAAUAUUGGUCAAUGGGCGCGAGCCUGAACCAGCCAAGUCGCGUGAAGGAUGAAUGCCCUACGGGUUGUAAACUUCUUUUAUAAAGGAAUAAAGUGAGCCACGUGUGCCUUUUUGCAUGUACUUUAUGAAUAAGGAUCGGCUAACUCCGUGCCAGCAGCCGCGGUAAUACGGAGGAUCCGAGCGUUAUCCGGAUUUAUUGGGUUUAAAGGGAGCGUAGAUGGGUUGUUAAGUCAGUUGUGAAAGUUUGUGGCUCAACCGUAAAAUUGCAAUUGAUACUGGAAGACUUGAGUACAGUUGAGGUAGGCGGAAUGCGUGGUGUAGCGGUGAAAUGCUUAGAUAUCACGAAGAACUCCGAUUGCGAAGGCAGCUUACUAAGCCGCAACUGACACUGAUGCUCGAAAGUGUGGGGAUCAAACAGGAUUAGAUACCCGAGUAGUC
rnacentral:rRNA from 1 species